UACGAAGGGGGCUAGCGUUGUUCGGAAUUACUGGGCGUAAAGCGCACGUAGGCGGAUACUUAUUUUUGGGGUGAAAUCCCGGGGCUCAACCCCGGAACUGCCUUUAAUACUGGGUAUCUCGAGUUCGAGAGAGGUGAGUGGAAUUCCGAGUGUAGAGGUGAAAUUCGUAGAUAUUCGGAGGAACACCAGUGGCGAAGGCGGCUCACUGGCUCGAUACUGACGCUGAGGUGCGAAAGCGUGGGGAGCAAACAGG
rnacentral:rRNA from 1 species